rnacentral:rRNA from 1 species
AGAUUAGCUUGCUAUAGUUGUCAGCUAAGUGGCGCACGGGUGAGUAAUGUAUAGGUAAUAUGCCUCUUACUAAGGGAUAACAAUUGGAAACGAUUGCUAAUACCUUAUAUGCCUUUAAGACUAAAGUCUGCAAGGGAAAGAUUUAUUGGUAAGAGAUUAGCCUGUAUUGUAUCAGCUAGUUGGUGAGGUAAUGGCUCACCAAGGCUAUGACGCAUAACUGGUUUGAGAGGAUGAUCAGUCACACUGGAACUGAGACACGGUCCAGACUCCUACGGGAGGCAGCAGUGGGGAAUAUUGCACAAUGGACGAAAGUCUGAUGCAGCAACGCCGCGUGGAGGAUGACACAUUUCGGUGCGUAAACUCCUUUUAUAUAGGAAGAUAAUGACGGUACUAUAUGAAUAAGCACCGGCUAACUCCGUGCCAGCAGCCGCGGUAAUACGGAGGGUGCAAGCGUUACUCGGAAUCACUGGGCGUAAAGAGCGUGUAGGCGGGUGAAUAAGUCAGAAGUGAAAUCCAAUAGCUCAACUAUUGAACUGCUUUUGAAACUGUAUACCUAGAAUGUGGGAGAGGC